ACACCUAAACCCUCAAACUUUGCUUCCCCUUCACGUGAACUCUCAAGACCUUGCUCUCCUUCACGCCGUUCUCCUUGCUGCCGCCGCUCACACCGCCAGACACUCCUGCACGUCACCGGAAUCUUGUCGACGCCGGUAACUCCCACCCUUCUUCUUCGUCCUUUCCUCCUCCUUCAUUGCGGUAUUGCUUUUCUUUCCUUUUAAUCGUUGUUGUUUGCCCAGCCACACAACCACCGCGAGUUUCCUCGCCGCCAGCAACCGCCGCGAACCUCACCGUCGCUGGACCGCCGACCUUGCACGCCACACACAACCGCCUGUGCACCGCCGUGCCUCAACUCGCCGCCGAUCUGCUGCCGCGCCUGUGCUCCGGCCAGCCUCUUCCCUUCUCCUUCUUGGCGGAGAAUUCUCUCUAGGCGACUUUUGAAAGUGUUAAAGUGGCCUAUCAGUUUGUUUACACAAGUCUCUAAGGAUCAAUAAGCAUUGUCCAUCUGCAGGUUUGAAGAUGUUGCAUCAUUGGGAUCGGGAAUAGAGAGCUUGUAUUUAGUUUUGUUUUGAUAAGUUGACUUGGGUUUGUUUAAUCGGACUUUAAACUUGUCGUACUAUUUAUAUUUCCUUAUUUUCUUUUAUUGGUUUUUGGGAUUAAACCUGUAAUCGAUUAUUUAUAAACCUAAAGUUAGUUUUAUG